CCAGACGGCCGGACGGCCGCUUUUCACCCCGGUGAAGAGAGGAAAGUCCGGGCUCCACGGAAGUACGGUGCCGGAUAACGUCCGGCGGGGGCGACCCUAGGGAAAGUGCCACAGAAAGCAAACCGCCCGCCUUCGGACGGGUAAGGGUGAAAGGGUGCGGUAAGAGCGCACCGCGGACCUGGCAACAGGGCCGGCACGGCAAACCCCACCGGGAGCAAGACCAAAUAGGGGCGGCGGUUUUCUGCGGGUUUUCCCGUAGGAACGAAACGCGCUUCCGCGUAGCCGCCCGGGUCGGUCGCGAGAGGUGUCCGGCAACGGGCAUCCCAGAUGAAUGGUCGUCACCAGGCCCAGCCUGGAACAGAACCCGGCUUACAGGCCGUCUGGCGCA
rfam:Magnetospirillum moscoviense strain BB-1 NODE_8_length_85436_cov_126.911_ID_4063, whole genome shotgun sequence.